rnacentral:lncRNA from 1 species
GAUAGAUGCUUGAAAACUGCUUUCAUACAUACAGAUUUAUUCAUGUUGACAACCUCUGCAUGCCACUCAGUAAAAAUUUCCAGGCUACUUACAAUAAUAGCGAAACAGAAGGAUAAACUAAAUUAUGUCGGAGGAAUAUACUAUGUAAAAAAUAUAAUAAAAUUAAAGAUGAGAUUAGCACCUGAAAAUCUCUCUAUUAUGACUUGAGGGCCUACUAAUUUGGCCCUGAGAGGUGUGGCCCUUCCUAAUUUUGACAGUGAGAAAUAUAUCGCCCUGGGUCCUGAUAUAGAGGACCUGUAGAGGCAGAGGGCGGUGCCCUGGAUAACACCCCUCCAGUGGAGAAAGAAAAGACCCCAUUAUGACUGCUGCAUCCCUCUCGGAAGAUGGCACGGGAGGCCAGCACUCCCGCCAGUACACACCAAAGUAUCGUGGCCCAAAUUAUCCAGCUUCAUCUUCACUGUCUAUACCAGUCAUGUUCAAUGACUUAUAAAAAGCAGUGAUACUCUUCUAGUCCAAUAAAAUCUUGCACAAGCACAGAGAAAAGAGGGCGGGUGGGUCAUUGUUUCAGAGGGGGAAGGGCUGACCAUUUUCUUAGGGCCUCUCUUUCCCCACGCAGAGAGUGGUGAGGCCUGAUGAGGCACCUUUGCUCUGAAUCCCAAGCAUCUGAAAACCCCUUGUCCCAUCUAGGUGAAAGGAUGGAGGGAGGGAGGGAAGAAAUAGAGGAAUGAAGGGAGGGAGGAAAGAAUGUUGCUUUUCAUUGCCACUUGCACAGGAUUCUUGUGGGAGCCAGUAGGGAAGUUGCUAUUUUGAAUCGGAUAAAUUGGGGCUUCCUCUUCUUGUUCAUCAAGACCACUCUUUGGCUCAUUUCAUCCCAAUAAAACAAACCACGACACACUACCAGACUGAAGAGACCGUACAGUGCACUUUUAAGUGUCUGGGCUCCAAACCAAACUGCCUGGGUUUGAAUCCUGGCCCUGCUACUUAUCACUGUGUGAUACUGGACAAGUUACUUAACCUUUCUGUGCCUGUUUUCUCAUCUGCAGAAAUAGGUGCUGAUAGUACCUACCUCAUGGGAGUGUUGUGAGGAGAAAAUGUGUUAGCAUGGGUACGACGUUUAGAAUGGCAUUUGCCACAUGGUCUGGGAAUAAAUGUCAGCUGUCAUUAUGCUGUGGGUAUAUAAAUACACUACUCCUUGCAAUAUCAGUUUUUGCCCACACAAUUUCCAGCCCUCUGCCCUCAGGUGAGCCAGCCUGUCUCAUCUCAGGGCCUCAUGGUGGCUUAGCUCACUCAGCAGUGGGAGCAGGUGGCUGAGCUGCAGUCAGGGUUCUGUGAACGCGGUGGGUUGAGGAGGGAAAGGAAUGAGGUUUGGAGUCCUUUUGUUGUUUUGCUUGGGUCAGAAGGAAUCUGUGGUAGCAUGCAGUCAUGAUCUUAUUUUACAGCUGCAGGAUGUUGGUAGACAAACUUCUCCCUAAUCUAUAUGAUCUAUAAGCCCAAACGGCCUUUAAUAGGGGGCGGUCACAGGAGGUCAGUGGCCUCCUCCUUCACAGCAGCUAUGUGAUGUGGCUGAGCUCUGAGAAAGAGCACUUGGCUGUGGUGCAACUGGCCUAGAAUUCAUAGCCCCAUUCUCUUGAUCUGAGUUGCUUCUGGGGGAUGAGCGUGGCACCACAGCGUCUCAGGUGCUAUAUAGGGGACUUCCCAAGAGUUGCCCGUAUCGGUUGUAAGGUGCUGUCUACAUGAGGGGAUGGUUUUAUGAAUACACAAGGGAGAGUUACCAGCAGAGUGAUGGCGAAAGCUUUGAGCUAGAUGGUUUUCAUCUUCCUGAAACAUCGCCCUAGGGUUUUCCUGAUGUUUCCAUCAAUCUGUUAAGUGCAGUGUGUGGUCGUGUCCCUCAGGGACUUUCCCAUUUACUCUGGAAGACCAAACUUAUAGGCUACACUCUGGGUGCAGACAGUGCUAGUCCUGUGGGGAGUUGGGAAAAAGGAGUGGGAGGCUUUGUGGCCGAGGAGGGGCUUCAGGGCAGCAAGGAUGACGGCUGGGUUUGAACAGUCAGUGGAGAAGGAAGUGUGGAAAGGCCAGAGAAGUAGACAUGGAUGUGUGCAUGCCAGAGAGGGCAGGCAGACAGGGUUCAUGGAGGGGGCAGAAGCAGCACAUUGACCUCUGCUUCUGCCAGAAGAUCAGAGGGGAUAUCGGGGGGGUGGUCUGGCCAGAGUAAGGGCAGCCUUGAAGCCCCGAUGGAAUAAUUUUGACUUGAUUCUAUGGAAAAUGACAUACGACAGUGUAGGAGGGCUUGUCUUCUAACUGAAACCAGCUGGGAAUCUUUCCCAGUAGAGUCAAGGGCAGGGCAGAGCGAGGGCCUUUGGCAGCAUGUGCAAAUGUACAUGCAUGUAACCAUUGUGUGUGGCCCACCAUGCUUUUAAACCUACCUUUACCUCCUCUAGUUCUUCAUAUCUCUUAACCCUCUUGUCUGUGAGCAUCAACAAUCCGGGGCUUACACAGACAACACCACAGUGUGCCAUCUUGCCAGAAGGAGAAACUGAGGCACUCUAUUCUAAAGAGGCUGGUUCUAGGACCUGCCCUUGAAUCACUGUGGAGUAAGACCCAGAGUGUGGGCUGCCAGGCCCCUUCCUUCAGGGAUCUGGCUUCUAAAGUUGGUUCUUUUCCUGUAUCUCAUAAAGAGGGAAAGGAUGGGCCUAAGAGAGGUUAUUUGGACAAAUGGCCAUUGUAAUUGCCUCCUAUCAGACACAGGUGGAUAGAGGCAGGUGUGGGGAAGAGGGCUGCCUGGAUCUGGGAUUCCCAAUCCCCCAUACUCCUUGGCCUAUUGUUGAGGGGGAGCUAGAGGAGGGGUGCGGACUUAGCAGGUUAAGAAAGAUAAACGCUUACUCUUUAACAGUGGGAAAGAGGGACGGAAGAGUAAGAUUGAAAUCUGAGGCAAGAGGAGUGGCCUAACCUGGUGGAGGCAGGAGAGGCGCGUGUCCUCUACAUGCCCGUCCAAGUCCCUGGUAGGUUCGUCCUUGCUCUGAGGGAAGAGUGUGGGCCACAGGCCAUGGGGACACUCUGAGGAUGUGGGUGCUGCCCAUCUUGAAGUUUCUCCCCACCCCUCUCCGGAGCUGCUACCAUUGUCCUUUGCCCUCGGAGUGCUCUCCUCCCACCCCCGCCGCCUCUUGUUCUCUUUCUCCCUUGAGCCGUUAGAAUGGCAGGGAGCCCAGCCAGGGCCUGGACGGCGGCCUCAGCUCCCUGUUCUCAAUAAUUGUGUGUGUGUGCAUGUGUGCAUGUGUACGUGUGAGUGCCUGUGUGUGUGCAUUGUGUGUAGGGGCUGGGGCUGGAGUCGACAACAGAUCAGAGCACAGGAGUAGAGCGCUUCUGGGAGGGUGGGGCCACCCGUGAGUCACGUCCUGCACCCUGGAGCCCAGAGGACCCUUCGCUCAAACCCACCACCAGCUGGCAACACCGGACCAGACCAGCCGGAGCCGCUUUCUUCGCUGCGCAGAGGAGCCUGGGAGAAGCCAGAGGUGUAAGUCAAGCUGUGGAGGGACUGGGUGUGGCUGAGCCCCGUGACAAGUGGGAGGAGCCAGGGAUGCUUGGGAGGGGAGGCACUGUGCGCGAGAGAGGAGGGAAAGGGGAAGCGUUCGUGCCUCUCUGCCCCCUGUCCCCCUCUUGCUGCAUAGUAGCCACAUCCAUGUCUCUUGUACCCUGCAAUCUGGAGGCCACUGCCAGAAGCUGGAAAUCUCAAGUAGAGCAGCAAAAGGCUUGAGGAUGGAUUCUUGGCUCCUGGUGCAUUGCCACUCCCUGCCACCCUCCUCCUUGUCUUCUAUCUUCUCCUGGUGGCGUCAGGCCUUGCUUCGUGUCCCAACAGGAGCCUCUGGGGCUGGCACAGCCCUCACUGCCUACAACCUGGGCCUGGUGGUUCUCCUAGGGUGCCUCUGGGAGGUCAUGGUCACCCCGCUGCUGGCUAACUGCAGCUACUUCUGCCAGCCAGUGGACUACAGAUGGAGAAAGCAUGGAAUGAGGGCAUCUUCCUGGAGACAGGAAGGUAGGCACUGUGGAAUCAGCGGUGCGUAGAACAGUGAGGAUUUGGGGCUGAACCCAGCCCAGGUGGGCCAAGCCGUGGCACCAGCCGGACUGCAGUCUGAUGGAACUUCCCCUUCCUGCCCAGCAGAUGGCGAGCGUGUGCUGCUGGUGCCUCUUUCCAAAGGACGUUGAAUUGCUUGACAGGUGUUCUUUACUUUAUGAAUGAAGCCAGAGCAGCCCACCUUCCUGCAUCUCUACCACCAUGGCACCAUGCCCUGUGAUGGGUGGGCUGGAGUCAAAUAUGUAGCAGGCAGCCAGGGUCAGUUUGUGGCCACUGCUGCCCCCUCUUCCUACAGUCUCCUCACUGAGUGCCCCUUCCCUGUUGGGUUCAACACAUCUGUGCUCCUGUAAGCCCUCAGCCUCCUCGUUCUCUUCCUCAACUUCUACCACCAGACACAUCUGAGAAGCAAGCAAGAGAGGCUGAACUAGGAGCAGGACCCAGGGACUGAAACCAGCACAGCAUCCCCACAGAGAAUUGGGUGGAAGGCAGCAUGGCUUCCAGCUUACUGGUGCUGAGCAGAUUGCUCUGGGUCUCCAUUGUAUCCUCUGAAGGAAGGAGGAGGAUUGCCUUCUGUCCAGAUCUCAGGAUCAAACAAAUAGGUCCAAUUUCCUGUGCUCACUUCAGUUAGAGCACUUCUCAUGUGACUUUGUAGCUUUGUGUGCAUCUCCUUCCUCUACUAGACCUAAGCCCCUCACGGGAGGGACUCUCUUAUUCUUGAUGUUCCCCACACCUGGAAUUUCAAUAAACAUCUCAAUAAA